rnacentral:rRNA from 1 species
GAUGAACGCUGGCGGCGUGCCUAAUACAUGCAAGUCGAGCGAACGGACGAGAAGCUUGCUUUUCUGAUGUUAGCGGCGGACGGGUGAGUAACACGUGGAUAACCUACCUAUAAGACUGGGAUAACUUCGGGAAACCGGAGCUAAUACCGGAUAAUAUUUUGAACCGCAUGGUUCAAAAGUGAAAGACGGUCUUGCUGUCACUUAUAGAUGGAUCCGCGCUGCAUUAGCUAGUUGGUAAGGUAACGGCUUACCAAGGCAACGAUGCAUAGCCGACCUGAGAGGGUGAUCGGCCACACUGGAACUGAGACACGGUCCAGACUCCUACGGGGGGCAGCAGUAGGGAAUCUUCCGCAAUGGGCGAAAGCCUGACGGAGCAACGCCGCGUGAGUGAUGAAGGUCUUCGGAUCGUAAAACUCCGUUAUUAGGGAAGAACAUAUGUGUAAGUAACUGUGCACAUCUUGACGGUACCUAAUCAGAAAGCCACGGCUAACUACGUG